GAUUAACUCACUCGGUAGAGCAUGAGUCUCUUAAUCUUAGGGUUGUGGGUUCGAGCCACACAUUGGGCA